rnacentral:rRNA from 1 species
UUAGGAAUCGUACACAAUGGGCGAAAGCCUGAUGUCGUGACGUCGCGUGGAGGAUGAAGGUUUUCGGAUCGUAAACUCCUUUUUUAUGGGAAGAUUAUGACUGUACCGUAAGAAUAAGCAUCGGCUAACUACGUGCCAGAAGCCUCGGUAAUACGUAGGAUGCGAGCGUUAUCCGGAAUUAUUGGGCGUAAAGAGCGCGUAGGCGGUCUUGUAAGUCUGACCUUAAAUCCCACGGCCCAACCGUGGACUUGGGUUGGAAACUGCUCGACUUGAGUAUUUGCAGGGGCAAGCGGAAUCUGCGGUGUAGGAGUAAAAUCCAUUGAUAUCGCAGAGAACACCAAUGGCGAAGGCAGCUUGCUGGGCAUUCACUGACGCUGAGGCGCGAAAGCGUGGGUAGCGAACGGG